GGCCGGUGAAUGAUCGCCGAUAUUCUAGAAUAUUCUCGACACUACUGGACCUUUCUCAAGUCCAACUCUAUACCUCUACCAGCUCCCCAACGGAGCUCACUCUGCAACUGCGAGAAACGCUGCCGCCGUGACAACAUACGUUUUUGCAGUAUCUUUCUAGAAAUUGAGAAAGAGAAGAAUGUUCGGCGUGGUGUUCCCGAACCGGAGCUUCCCAAUGGACAUCUCCACCUUCGCUCAAAUCGAUACAACCCAUUGGAUUCUCGACAUGAAAACUUUUGUCGGGGAGGCCUACGAUUCGAUUCGGGAGCUCUGCAUCUUCCUCCUCAACGGCCUUACCCUGCCGCCAGAAAAAGCCCUAGCGGUGUACAUCCAGUCGCCCGGAUCGGCCUUCCUCUACUGUGGGGCGGUGACGGUGGCUCGACCGUCAGCGGUGCUGUCGCUGCCGUGGCCGGAGCCCGGUGGUCAGCUUCAGCUCAUGGCCCCGGACGCCUCCCCGCUCUCCGCGAAGAUCGGCGUCUCGGUGGAGGACCUCGCCACCCUCCCCUCCCUCGACGUCGCCGCUGAGAAGCGGAUCGAACAUUUGGCGAUGAAGGUCGGCGAGAAUCUGUUCAAUUUCAUGCAAUCGUUCUGCGGCGUCGACGGUAGCAAGCUUAUUGUGCCCAUGGAUAUAUUGGAUAGGUGGUUCAAGAAAUUCCAAGAUCGCGCUAAGCGUGAUCCUGAGUAUCUCAAGGGUUUUGCGUUGUAGUUUAGGAGUUUGAUCAGUAAUUUGCUGGAGGUAAUAGCACAUAUCGGAGAAUUCUUUUGUUUCAAGAAAUGGCAUGAUGGCAUAAGUCAUAACAAACAAAGAGAAGUUGCUUCUGAAGGGAAAUUACCAGAAGUUGUCCGGUUUGCAUUUGAACGUGACGUAGACCCCCAUUCCUAGAGAAGGAGCUUUUUACAUUGGCUGGACUUGUUCGUGUUAAUGCACAUGCUCUUUCAUGAGUGUCGAAGUUCAAUAUGUGGCCCUCAUGCAUAAAGGCUCCUCUAGGGAGGAGGUCUAAGAUGUUGAAGUAGGUCGGAGCUCUUACUUGAGUUCCUUGUGUAUUAAUAUUAUAGUUUUUAUGUGGAUUAUAAUGAAAAGUGGCGACUUUGUGAUAUUCUAACACAAAGACUGGUUGUGGAUGGUAUGAGUUGUGACUUUUUUUACAGAAAGGUUUUCCAAUUUCAGGUUCAGGAUUACCUAGGUCAAAACAUAAAUUUAUAUGAUUGUUGAAGUGGAUGUAAAAUGGAACAUUUU